rnacentral:rRNA from 1 species
GAUGAACGCUGGCGGCGUGCCUAAUACAUGCAAGUCGAGCGAACAGACGAGGAGCUUGCUCCUCUGACGUUAGCGGCGGACGGGUGAGUAACACGUGGAUAACCUACCUAUAAGACUGGGAUAACUUCGGGAAACCGGAGCUAAUACCGGAUAAUAUAUUGAACCGCAUGGUUCAAUAGUGAAAGACGGUUUUGCUGUCACUUAUAGAUGGAUCCGCGCCGCAUUAGCUAGUUGGUAGGGUAACGGCUUACCAAGGCAACGAUGCGUAGCCGACCUGAGAGGGUGAUCGGCCACACUGGAACUGAGACACGGUCCAGACUCCUACGGGAGGCAGCAGUAGGGAAUCUUCCGCAAUGGGCGAAAGCCUGACGGAGCAACGCCGCGUGAGUGAUGAAGGUCUUCGGAUCGUAAAACUCUGUUAUUAGGGAAGAACAAAUGUGUAAGUAACUAUGCACGUCUUGACGGUACCUAAUCAGAAAGCCACGGCUAACUACGU